UGGGGAAUUUUGGACAAUGGGCGAAAGCCUGAUCCAGCAAUGCCGCGUGUGUGAAGAAGGCCUUCGGGUUGUAAAGCACUUUUGUCCGGAAAGAAAUCCUUGGCUCUAAUACAGUCGGGGGAUGACGGUACCGGAAGAAUAAGCACCGGCUAACUACGUGCCAGCAGCCGCGGUAAUACGUAGGGUGCAAGCGUUAAUCGGAAUUACUGGGCGUAAAGCGUGCGCAGGCGGUUUGCUAAGACCGAUGUGAAAUCCCCGGGCUCAACCUGGGAACUGCAUUGGUGACUGGCAGGCUAGAGUAUGGCAGAGGGGGGUAGAAUUCCACGUGUAGCAGUGAAAUGCAUAGAGAUGUGGAGGAAUACCGAUGGCGAAGGCAGCCCCCUGGGCCAAUACUGACGCUCAUGCACGAAAGCGUGGGGAGCAAACAGGAUUAGAUACCCUGGUAGUCCACGCCCUAAACGAUGUCAACUAGUUGUUGGGGAUUCAUUUCCUUAGUAACGUAGCUAACGCGUGAAGUUGACCGCCUGGGGAGUACGGUCGCAAGAUUAAAACUCAAAUGAAUUGACGGGG
rnacentral:rRNA from 1 species